rnacentral:tRNA from 1 species
UUUACUUAAAUAGCUUAUAAAGAGCAUAAUAUUGAAGAUAUUAAGGAAAUAGACAUAUUUUUAAGUG